AGCUCGGAGUUUCUCUUCAUUCUUCACGCAAAUCUUUGCGCCUUUUACUAAAGAUUUCCGUGGAGGGGAGCUUUGCGGAAGUGACCUGUAUUUUGGGGCUCUGCUCACAGCAGAGC
ensembl:snRNA U5 U5 spliceosomal RNA